UACGUAGGGGGCAAGCGUUGUCCGGAUUUAUUGGGCGUAAAGAGCGUGUAGGCGGCUUGACAGGUCUGCUGUGAAAACUCGAGGCUCAACCUCGAGAUGUCGGCGGAAACCGUCUGGCUAGAGUCCGGAAGAGGAGAGUGGAAUUCCUGGUGUAGCGGUGAAAUGCGCAGAUAUCAGGAAGAACACCUAUGGCGAAGGCGGCAUCCUGGACCGGUAUUGACGCUGAGGCGCGAAAGCUAGGGGAGCGAACAGG
rnacentral:rRNA from 1 species